UGCCAGCAGCCGCGGUAAUACGAAGGGUGCAAGCGUUGUUCGGAUUUAUUGGGCGUAAAGCGCGCGCAGGCGGAUGAUUAAGUCAGAUGUGAAAUCUCGGGGCUCAACCCCGAAACUGCGUCUGAAACUGGUUAUCUAGAAUCUCGGAGAGGGAGGUGGAAUUUCGCAUGUAGGGGUAAAAUCCGUAGAGAUGCGAAGGAACACCAGAGGCGAAGGCGACCUCCUGGACGAGUAUUGACGCUGAGGCGCGAAAGCGUGGGGAGCAAACAGGAUUAGAUA
rnacentral:rRNA from 1 species